CUUAAGAGAUAUUUAGUAAUGAUUAUAAUUUUAGGAAGAUUGUUAACAUCUUCAUAAGAUAUGAAAACUAUCUAAUGUACGUAAGGCAAAAAAUAAGUUUCAUAAAUCAUAAAUUUAUAAAAACAUAUUCUAUCUCUUACAUCGAAAGAGGAGAAAAUAUGACUGAAAUUGUCAAAUUUGUUAAUCUUAUGAUUAUUUUGCUUUCAGUAUUUAUUGUUGCAAUGAACGUUGAUGCAUUUGAAAUAUGUGGAAGCAAUUCAGAUUGUCUAUGGGAAAAAUGCUUGCCUCCUAAUAAACAUUGGUGCAAUAUGAUUGAGACGAUUAUGUUCGAGGGAUUUGCGAUGGGCAAAUGUGAAUGCAUUUGAGUGAAUGUGCCUAUAAUAUUCUGUUAGAAAUUUCCAUAAGUUCUCAUUUAUAAGAUUAUGGUAGGCAAAUUUCCAAUAAUUUGUAUUUACUUCCCUUUCUAAUUUCAUGGAUCCGGAAUAAUUUGUAUUUUAUUUCUGGUCUGUUGCUAUUUCAUCAGUUAAAAUACAAGUUUUAUUUUUCUCA